rnacentral:rRNA from 1 species
AGUGAACGCUGGCGGUAGGCCUAACACAUGCAAGUCGAACGGCAGCACAGUAAGAGCUUGCUCUUACGGGUGGCGAGUGGCGGACGGGUGAGGAGUACAUCGGAAUCUACUUUUUCGUGGGGGAUAACGUAGGGAAACUUACGCUAAUACCGCAUACGACCUACGGGUGAAAGCAGGGGAUCUUCGGACCUUGCGCGAUUGAAUGAGCCGAUGUCGGAUUAGCUAGUUGGCGGGGUAAAGGCCCACCAAGGCGACGAUCCGUAGCUGGUCUGAGAGGAUGAUCAGCCACACUGGAACUGAGACACGGUCCAGACUCCUACGGGAGGCAGCAGUGGGGAAUAUUGGACAAUGGGCGCAAGCCUGAUCCAGCCAUACCGCGUGGGUGAAGAAGGCCUUCGGGUUGUAAAGCCCUUUUGUUGGGAAAGAAAAGCAGCAGGUUAAUACCCCGCUGUUCUGACGGUACCCAAAGAAUAAGCACCGGCUAACUUCAU